rnacentral:rRNA from 1 species
UACAGAGGCCCCAAGCGUUACUGAGAAUCACUGGGUUUAAAGGGUGCGUAGGUGGUCCGUUAAGUUCGUUGUGAAAGCCCUGGGCUCAACCCAGGAACUGCUUCGAAUACUGGCGGACUUGAGGCCGGUAUGGGUCACUGGAACUGACGGUGGAGCGGUGAAAUGCGUAGAUAUCGUCAGGAACGCCAAUGGUGAAGACAGGUGACUGGGCCGGAUCUGACACUGAGGCACGAAAGCGUGGGGAGCGAACGGG